AUCGCUUCUCAGCCUUUUGGCUAAGAUCAAGUGUAAGAUAGAAAAUCUAGUCCUCCAAAACCAAGCACAAUUAAGUUUUUUGGCCUAAGAUACAAGCAUUUUCUUGAAAAUAUUUUAAAAAUCUGAAUAGAUUAUUAUAGGCUUCAUGGAU
rnacentral:snRNA from 1 species